AGAUAUCUGUGAUGUACGCGGAGCACACAUAAGUGUUGACCGAACAAAUCGUUUUACAUUGGGAGUCAACGAAUCGCAAUAAAAAACAGGCCUUAUCACUUGGUAGUUUGGCGUUGUGAAAGAGAUUCCCACCUGCAUAUUCAGCGGGUUCAACCAUCUGGUGCUCAAACCGGCAUUAACGGAUGUCUC
rnacentral:other from 1 species